rnacentral:rRNA from 1 species
GACGAACGCUGGCGGCGUGCUUAACACAUGCAAGUCGAACGGAAAGGCCCUGCUUUUGUGGGGUGCUCGAGUGGCGAACGGGUGAGUAACACGUGAGUAACCUGCCCUUGACUUUGGGAUAACUUCAGGAAACUGGGGCUAAUACCGGAUAGGAGCUCCUGCUGCAUGGUGGGGGUUGGAAAGGUUCGGCGGUUGGGGAUGGACUCGCGGCUUAUCAGCUUGUUGGUGGGGUAGUGGCUUACCAAGGGUUUGACGGGUAGCCGGCCUGAGAGGGUGACCGGCCACAUUGGGACUGAGAUACGGCCCGGCCUCCUACGGGAGGCAGCAGUGGGGAAUAUUGCACAAUGGGCGGAAGCCUGAUGCAGCAACGCCGCGUGCGGGAUGACGGCCUUCGGGUUGUAAACCGCUUUCGCCUGUGACGGAGCGUGAGUGACGGUAAUGGGUAAAGAAGCACCGGCUAACUACGUG